rnacentral:sRNA from 1 species
GUCGGGUGUGGUGGCACACGCCUGUAAUCCCAGCUACUCGGGACACUGAGACAGGAGGUUUGCAAGUUCAAAGCCAGCCUCAGCAAUGGUGAGGUGCUAAGCAACUCAGUGAAACCCUGUCUCUA